rnacentral:misc_RNA from 1 species
GAUGAAGAACGCAGCAAAAUGCGAUAAGUAAUGUGAAUUGCAGAAUUCAGUGAAUCAUCGAAUCUUUGAACGCACAUUGCGCCCGCCAGUAUUCUGGCGGGCAUGCCUGUUCGAGCGUCAUUUCAACCCUCAAGCACAGCUUGGUGUUGGGACUCGCGUUAAUUCGCGUUCCCCAAAUUGAUUGGCGGUCACGUCGAGCUUCCAUAGCGUAGUAGUAAAACCCUCGUUACUGGUAAUCGUCGCGGCCACGCCGUUAAACCCCAACUUCUGAAUGUUGACCUCGGAUCAGGUAGGAAUACCCGCUGAACUUAAGCAUAUCAAUAAGGAGGA